rnacentral:rRNA from 1 species
CCUACGGGAGGCAGCAGUGGGGAAUAUUGCACAAUGGGGGAAACCCUGAUGCAGCGACGCCGCGUGAGCGAAGAAGUAUUUCGGUAUGUAAAGCUCUAUCAGCAGGGAAGAAAAUGACGGUACCUGAGUAAGAAGCUCCGGCUAAAUACGUGCCAGCAGCCGCGGUCAUACGUAUGGAGCAAGCGUUAUCCGGAUUUACUGGGUGUAACGGGAGCGCAGGCGGCCUUGCAAGUCUGAUGUGAAAUACCCGGGCUCAACCCCGGAGCUGCAUUGGAAACUGUGAGGCUGGAGUGUCGGAGAGGCAGGCGGAAUUCCUAGUGUAGCGGUGAAAUGCGUAGAUAUUAGGAGGAACACCAGUGGCGAAGGCGGCCUGCUGGACGAUGACUGACGCUGAGGCUCGAAAGCGUGGGGAGCAAACAGGAUUAGAUACCCGGGUAGUC